CAGAUUAGGACUGGUGGAGCGCUUAGAAGUGAGAAUGCCGGUAUGAGUAGCGCAAGACGGGUGAGAAUCCCGUCCACCGAAUAACUAAGGUUUCCUGGGGAAGGCUCGUCCUCCCAGGGUUAGUCGGGACCUAAGCUGAGGCCGAUAGGCGUAGGCGAUGGACAACAGGUUGAUAUUCCUGUACCAGUUGCUUUUGUUUGAGCGAUGGAGGGACGCAGGGGGCUAAGGAAUGCACACGAUCGGAAAUGUGUGUCCAAGCAGCAAGUCUGAGAAUGAGUGAAAUGCUUUUUCUCUCAAGGACAAGCUGUGAUGGGGAGCGAAAUUUAGUAGCGAAGUUCCUGAUGUCACACUGCCAAGAAAAGCUUCUAGUGAGAAAGUAACUGCCCGUACCGCAAACCGACACAGGUAGUUGAGGAGAGAAUCCUAAGGUGUGCGAGAGAACUCUCGUUAAGGAACUCGGCAAAAUGACCCCGUAACUUCGGGAGAAGGGGUGCUGACCGCAAGGUCAGCCGCAGUGAAUAGGCCCAAGCGACUGUUUAUCAAAAACACAGGUCUCUGCAAAAUCGAAAGAUGUCGUAUAGGGGCUGACGCCUGCCCGGUGCUGGAAGGUUAAGAGGAGAGGUUAGCGCAAGCGAGGCUUUGAAUUGAAGCCCCAGUAAACGGCGGCCGUAACUAUAACGGUCCUAAGGUAGCGAAAUUCCUUGUCGGGUAAGUUCCGACCCGCACGAAAGGCGUAACGAUUUGGGCACUGUCUCAACGAGAGACUCGGUGAAAUUAUAGUACCAGUGAAGAUGCUGGUUACCCGCGACAGGACGGAAAGACCCCAUGGAGCUUUACUGCAGUUUGAUAUUGCGUGUUUGUAUCACAUGUACAGGAUAGGUAGGAGCCGAAGAUACCGGGACGCCAGUCUCGGAGGAGGCAACGGUGGGAUACUACCCUUGUGAUAUGACCACUCUAACCCGCUGCUCUUAGCGAGCAGGGAGACAGUGUCAGACGGGCAGUUUGACUGGGGCGGUCGCCUCCAAAAAUGUAACGGAGGCGCCCAAAGGUUCCCUCAGAAUGGUUGGAAAUCAUUCGUAGAGUGUAAAGGCAGAAGGGAGCUUGACUGCGAGACCUACAAGUCGAGCAGGGACGAAAGUCGGGCUUAGUGAUCCGGUGGUUCCGCAUGGAAGGGCCAUCGCUCAACGGAUAAAAGCUACCCUGGGGAUAACAGGCUUAUCUCCCCCAAGAGUUCACAUCGACGGGGAGGUUUGGCACCUCGAUGUCGGCUCAUCGCAUCCUGGGGCUGUAGUCGGUCCCAAGGGUUGGGCUGUUCGCCCAUUAAAGCGGUACGCGAGCUGGGUUCAGAACGUCGUGAGACAGUUCGGUCCCUAUCCGUCGCGGGCGUUGGAAAUUUGAGAGGAGCUGUCCUUAGUACGAGAGGACCGGGAUGGACACACCGCUGGUGUACCAGUUGUUCUGCCAAGAGCAUCGCUGGGUAGCUAUGUGUGGACGGGAUAAACGCUGAAAGCAUCUAAGCGUGUAGCCCCCCUCAAGAUGAGAUUUCCCAUCACUUUAAGUGAGUAAGACCCCUGAGAGAUGAUCAGGUAGAUAGGUUGGGAGUGGAAGUACAGCGAUGUAUGGAGCGGACCAAUACUAAUCGGUCGAGGACUUAACC
rnacentral:rRNA from 1 species